UAGACAGUAUAAAAGAGAAAGCUGCCCUCCCUGCCCUGUCUAUCCCAGGAGACCAGGUCAGCUUUGCCCGCCAUGGAGAAGGCUAGAUGAGGAAAAAGAGACAGCAGCUUGCCCGAGGUCACCUCCACCAUGAAGAUUCCUGCUAUGAUGUCUCUCCUACUGGUGUCUGUGGGUCUCAGGGAUGGAGUUCAGGUUCAAAGUUACUCCAUCUCACAACUAGACAUCUUUUCUCAAGAAACACCCCUGGACAUGGCCCCAGCGUCCUUUGAUGACCAGUAUGCUGGCUGCCUGGCAGACAUGACAGCGGCCCUGCCAGAUCUCAACCACUCAGAGUUUCAGGCCAACAAAGUAUACGCGGAUGGCUGGGCUCAGGCCAACAAUCAGUGGCAGGAGCGCAGGGCCUGGGGGUCCGUGUGGGGCUCCUUGCCCCCAUCACCGCCGGGCUUCCGGGAUGAGCACGGGGUGGCGCUGCUGGCCUACACCGCCAACAGCCCCCUGCACAAGGAGUUCAACGCAGCUGUGCGUGAGGCGGGACGUUCUCGGGCCCAUUACCUCCACCACUUCUCCUUCAAGACCCUCCACUUCCUGCUCACCGAGGCCCUGCAACUGCUCCGGAGCCACCGAUCUCGCGGGUGCCAGCAGGUGUACAGGGGGGUGCACGGCCUGCGCUUUCGGCCAGCGGGGCCUGGCGCCACCGUUAGGCUGGGGGGCUUUGCUUCUGCGUCCCUCAAGAACGUUGCCGCCCAACAAUUUGGCGAGGACACCUUCUUCGGUAUCUGGACCUGCCUUGGGGCCCCCAUCAGGGGCUACUCCUUUUUCCCUGAAGAGGAGGAGGUGCUGAUCCCUCCUUUCGAAACUUUCCAGGUGAUCAAUACAAGCCGACCCACCCAGGGUCCCGCACGCAUCUACCUCCGCGCUCUGGGCAAACGCAGUACAUACAACUGUGAAUACAUCAAAGAAAAGAAGUGCAGGUCUGGGCCCUGCUGGCUGGGUAGCUCAGCCCCAGGCUCCAUUUCUGCUUCCUGCUCUCUUCUGCUGCUGCUCUUGUUCCUUGUGCUGAGCGCCCUUCCAGAGAAUCCAGGUCUCCAGCAACUUACCCGAUGUUGACCGGCCCUGACUGAAGAAGGCUGGUCAACUGUGCGCCUUCAGUGUAGCAGGAUCCUGGUGAAUCAGUCCAUCUACAGGGAACUCUGGGACCGUCUAUGGCAAUUGCCAGACACAUCGAUAGAGACAGAGAAGAGAAUUUGGAGACUGAACCUCAUCCAGGGAUGUAGGGACGGGACUGAGGACAAGCAGAGGACUCGAGGACAGGCAGAGACUCAACUUGGAGCCAGGAGACUUCAACUCAUUGUGCGUGACACACACACAUGACCGUGGGCCAAGCUGGAGUCACUUAAUUGCCUCUCAUAAAGGCCCCAAGAAGACCAGGCACGGGAGAGGCACUGGGAGCACUCAUUUAUUAUGGAUCGAAGCUCCGAGUCAAAUGUCUGCACAGCCUUCUGUUUUGGAAACUAGACACCCUCAGACUCACCGAUGAGUGGAACGCUCUCUGCAGGUGGCAUGCUCUCGGCCAGGAUCAGCUGGAAGACGGUGAGCGCCAGGAGCACGGUGACGCCCAGAGACACCUUCUCCCCGGAGUCAGCGGGCAGGUGGAAGGCCAGAGGUGCCAGCAGGGAGAUGAACACACAGGGCAGCAGUAGGUUGCACACAUAGGCAGCUGCACGGCGGCGCAGCAGCAGAGUGAAGGUCACGUCUGGGUAGGGCUCGGAGCAGCAGCCGUAGGUGAGCACGCGCCUGCGCGCUGGCAUGCCCAGCACACGCCAUUCAACGUUCUCCACGAAGUCGGCCAGACUGGCGGAAGUGCCCCGAGGUCGCACAUCCAGCUGGUGCCCGCCGUGCGUCCAUGAGCCGAAGGUCAGGCCACAGCGCUGAGCGUCAAAUGGGAAGGCAGAGACAUCCACACGGCACGAGCUGCGUGUGAUGGCCGGCUACUCAGUGUCUGAAUGCAUGCCAUGGAAGGACGCAUCAAAGGAGGUCUCCUUUCACCAUGUGAGUUUUGGAGAUUGAACUCGGGUCAUCAAGCUUGGCUACCAGCGCUCUAGACCUCACUUUGAAGAGGCCUUGCAGAAUCCACUGAUUUAUCCCUAAACACAAACUACUCUAACCCUCUGCCAUCUUGCUUUCAUGAAUCUUACAGACAAGAAAACCUUGAAUUGUAAGCUGUGGAAAUAAAGAAACUGGAUGUCUUUUCAGAGCAGGGAGAGCUUCUUUAGGGAGACUAUUUGGAAGCUGAGACCUUCCUAAAAACAUGGCAGAGCUUUCCAGGUAAAGGAAACAGCCAAGUCCUGUGAGGUGUAAAGUGUUCAUAUGCAAUGCAUGCGGUAAAAGAGGAAAA